AUUACAGACCUUUCGAGGUCUUGUAAGAGAAAAAAAAAAAAAAUAAUAAAAGAGAGAUUUAUUCAUCGGCUAAGAUGCCAAGUUCAUCGAAGCUCCUUGUGAUAAUUAUUUUCUCAUUCUUGGCGCUUUUCAUAAUCUCCCAUGCUCAAUCACUUCCAGGUACGCCAUAUGGCGGCCCUCCCCCAGGAUCUGGGUACCGUGCUUGUUUCCUACCUCCUUGCCGUCCAUGAGAGUUUCAACUUGGUCACAUGAAUUAUAAUCAAAUAAAUUUAUUAAGGUGAUGUAUGGGUGUGUCUUUAUAUAUUUUCAUCAUUAUUUGGUGGAGAAUAAAAAGAUUGGGAGAUAUAUGAUA